CACGUAGGGGACGAGCGUUGUCCGAUUCAUUGGGCGUAAAGCGCGCGUAGGCGGCCUGUUAAGUCGAACGUGAAAUCCCCGGGCUCAACCCGGGAACUGCGUCCGAUACUGGCAGGCUUGAAUUCGGGAGAGGGAUGUGGAAUUCCAGGUGUAGCGGUGAAAUGCGUAGAUAUCUGGAGGAACACCGGUGGCGAAGGCGG
rnacentral:rRNA from 1 species